rnacentral:rRNA from 1 species
GACGAACGCUGGCGGCGUGCUUAACGCAUGCAAGUCGAACGGAAAGGCCCUGCUUUUGUGGGGUGCUCGAGUGGCGAACGGGUGAGUAACACGUGAGUAACCUGCCCUUGACUUUGGGAUAACUUCAGGAAACUGGGGCUAAUACCGGAUAGGAGCUCCUGCUGCAUGGUGGGGGUUGGAAAGUUUCGGCGGUUGGGGAUGGACUCGCGGCUUAUCAGCUUGUUGGUGGGGUAGUGGCUUACCAAGGCUUUGACGGGUAGCCGGCCUGAGAGGGUUACCGGCCACAUUGGGACUGAGAGACGGCCCAGACUCCUACGGGAGGCAGCAGUGGGGAAUAUUGCACAAUGGGCGGAAGCCUGAUGCAGCAACGCCGCGUGCGGGAUGACGGCCUUCGGGUUGUAAACCGCUUUCGCCUGAGACGAAGCGUGAGUGACGGUAAUGGAUAAAGAAGCACCGGCUAACUACGUG